CAUUAUUCCCAAAGAAAUUCUAUCAAACAAACCCUUAUUAAUAAUAAAUACUUAAUUUUUCAUUUAUUUAUGAAAUGUAUAAUAAACUUUACUUUCCCGCGUUUCUUGUGGCUGGAAACCCACCCCAGUCCGCGUUACCCGCUUUCCAGGAAUCAUACUCUGACGCGGGCUGUGUUCUUGUAUAUCCACAACCCAAUCUUUAACGUCUUCACUUAGAACAAUCUGAACACAUAUCUCUGUGACUCUGUCCCUCUAGCUCUGGUUUUACAGGUAGUGAUCAAGACAACAAAAUGGCAUCCAACACUUCAUACGAGACUUCAUGGGCCGAUCAAUGGGAUCCAGAGUCCCUCUACAGUUACGAGACCAAUAAACCCAACAAAGGCGGCGGUGCAUCUUCCAAAUUCUCCACCACCGUUGGCGACAAGUUUGAUAAAACUAAGGCGGAGGCUUCCACCGGCGUCAGGAAAGUUAAAGCAGGAGCCUCCGCUGGUAUCCACUGGAUCAAAGACAAGUGCCAUAAGAAAAAUCAAAUGGACUAGUAAAAUUAUGGGAAUUUUUUUUCCUCAUCUUCUUUUGGCUGUUUAUUUUUUAGCUUUAUGAUCUCUUGAUAGUUUGUAGUUGAUUAGAGGGAUCAUUCAUUUGAUUGAUCAUAGGUACUUGUGAAAAUAUUUAUAGAUUUCGUGUAUGUAUUCAUUUAGGAUUUUUCAAUUGAAUUUCUUUUAUGAUUAUGAUGGUCUUUUGGAG
rnacentral:lncRNA from 1 species